rnacentral:rRNA from 1 species
CCCUUAGAUGUUCUGGGCCGCACGCGCGCUACACUGAUAAUGUCAACAAGCUUUACCUUGGCCGAUAGGUCUGGGCAAUCUUCGAACUAUUAUCGUGAUGGGGCUAGAUUAUUGCAACUAUUAAUCUUAAACGAGGAAUUCCUAGUAAGCGCGAGUCAUCAGCUCGCGUUGAUUACGUCCCUGCCCUUUGUACACACCGCCCGUCGCUACUACCGAUUGAACGGUUUAGUGAGGGCCUCGGAUUGGUCUCGGCCCGCUCUUUACCGGGCGGCGCCGUUGGUCGAGAAGACGCUCGAACUUGAUCGUUUAGAGGAAGUAAAAGUCGUAACA